rnacentral:rRNA from 1 species
CAGUAGCCGCGGUAAUACGAAGGGUGCAAGCGUUACUUGGAAUUACUGGGCGUAAAGCGUGCGUAGGUGGUGGUUUAAGUCCGUUGUGAAAGCCCUGGGCUCAACCUGGGAAUUGCAGUGGAUACUGGGUCACUAGAGUGUGGUAGAGGAUAGUGGAAUUUCCGGUGUAGCAGUGAAAUGCGUAGAGAUCGGAAGGAACAUCUGUGGCGAAGGCGACUAUCUGGGCCAACACUGACACUGAGGCACGAAAGCGUGGGGAGCAAACAGGAUUAGAUACCCCGGUAGUCCCUGUCUCUUAUAC